AGCAGCCGCGGUAAUUCCAGCUCCAAUAGCGUAUAUUAAAGUUGUUGCAGUUAAAAAGCUCGUAGUUGAAUUUCAGGCCUGGCUGGACGGUCCGCCCUUCGGGUGAGUACUGUCUGUGGUCGGGUCCUACCUUCUGGCGAAGCGUCAUGGCCUUAACCGGCCGUGGCGGGGAACCAGGACUUUUACUGUGAAAAAAUUAGAGUGUUCAAAGCAGGCAAAUCGCUUGGAUACAUUAGCAUGGAAUAAUGGAAUAGGACGAUGGUUCUAUUUGUUGGUUUCUAGGACCGUUGUAAUGAUUAAUAGGGAUAGUUGGGGGCAUUAGUAUUCAAUUGUCAGAGGUGAAAUUCUUGGAUUUAUUGAAGACUAACUACUGCGAAAGCAUUUGCCAAGGAUGUUUUCAUUAAUCAAGAACGAAGUUAGGGGAUCGAAGACGAUCAGAUACCGUCGUAGUCUUAACCAUAAACUAUGCCGACUAGGAAUCGGGCGAUGUUGACAAAAUGACGCGCUCGGCACCUCAUGG
rnacentral:rRNA from 1 species